AUUGAACGCUGGCGGCAUGCCUUACACAUGCAAGUCGAACGGCAGCACGGAGCUUGCUCUGGUGGCGAGUGGCGAACGGGUGAGUAAUAUAUCGGAACGUACCCAAGAGUGGGGGAUAACGUAGCGAAAGUUACGCUAAUACCGCAUACGAUCUAAGGAUGAAAGUGGGGGCUCGCAAGACCUCAUGCUCCUGGAGCGGCCGAUAUCUGAUUAGCUAGUUGGUGAGGUAAAGGCUCACUAAGGCAUCGAUCAGUAGCUGGUCUGAGAGGACGACCAGCCACACUGGAACUGAGACACGGUCCAGACUCCUACGGGAGGAAGCAGUGGGGAAUUUUGGACAAUGGGGGCAACCCUGGUCCAGCAAUACCACGUGAGUGAAGAAGGCCUUCGGGUUGUAAAGCUCUUUUGUCAGGGAAGAAACGGUGAAGGCUAAUAUCCUUUGCUAAUGACGGUACCUGAAGAAUAAGCACCGGCUAACUACGUGCCAGCAGCCGCCGUAA
rnacentral:rRNA from 1 species